CACAGGUGCUGCAUGGCCGUCGUCAGCUCGUGCCGUGAGGUGUUGGGUUAAGUCCCGCAACGAGCGCAACCCCCGCCGUUAGUUGCCAGCGGUUCGGCCGGGCACUCUAACGGGACUGCCCGCGAAAGCGGGAGGAAGGAGGGGACGACGUCUGGUCAGCAUGGCCCUUACGGCCUGGGCGACACACGUGCUACAAUGCCCACUACAAAGCGAUGCCACCCGGCAACGGGGAGCUAAUCGCAAAAAGGUGGGCCCAGUUCGGAUUGGGGUCUGCAACCCGACCCCAUGAAGCCGGAAUCGCUAGUAAUCGUGGAUCAGCAUGUCACGGUGAAUACGUUCCCGGGUCUU
rnacentral:rRNA from 1 species